AAAGGGGGCGUUGAGGCGUCGUGAUGAGGUAAAGGGGCGUUGAGGUGUCGUGAUGAGGCAAAGGGGGCGUUGAGGCGUCGUGAUGAGGUAAAGGGGCGUUGAGGCCUUGUGAUGAGGUAAAGGGGCGUCGAGGCAUUGUGAUGAGGUAAAGCGGGAGUUGAGGCGUCGUGAUGAGGUAAAGGGGGCGUUGAGGCGUCGUGAUGAGGUAAAGGGGCGUUGAGGCCUCGUGAUGAGGCAAAGGGGGCAUUGAGGCGUCGUGAUGAGGUAAAGGGGCGUUGAGGCGUCGUGAUGAGGUAAAAGGGACGUUGAGGUGUCGUGAUGAGGUAAAGGGGACGUUGAGGCGUUGUGAUGAGGUAAAGCAAGCAUUGAGGCAUCGUGAUGAGGCAAAGGGGGCAUUGAGGCGUCGUGAUGAGGUAAAGGGGACGUUGAGGCGUUGUGAUGAGGUAAAGCGGGCGAUGAGGCGUCGUGAUGAGUUAAAUCAAGCAUUGAGGAUGAGGUAAAGCAAGCAUUGAGGCAUCGUGAUGAGGUAAAG